UAGUCGAAACUUCGUUCUCUCUUGAAUGUAUCCUGAGUACGGCGGAACACGUGAAAUUCCGUCGGAAUCUGGGAGGACCAUCUCCCAAGGCUAAAUACUCCCUAGUGAUCGAUAGUGAACCAGUACCGUGAGGGAAAGGUGAAAAGCACCCCGGAAGGGGAGUGAAAGAGAUCCUGAAACCGUGUGCCUACAAAUAGUCAGAGCCCGUUAACGGGUGAUGGCGUGCCUUUUGUAGAAUGAACCGGCGAGUUACGAUCCCGUGCGAGGUUAAGCUGAAGAGGCGGAGCCGCAGCGAAAGCGAGUCUGAAUAGGGCGUUUAGUACGUGGUCGUAGACCCGAAACCAGGUGAUCUACCCAUGUCCAGGGUGAAGUUCAGGUAACACUGAAUGGAGGCCCGAACCCACGCACGUUGAAAAGUGCGGGGAUGAGGUGUGGGUAGCGGAGAAAUUCCAAUCGAACCUGGAGAUAGCUGGUUCUCCCCGAAAUAGCUUUAGGGCUAGCCUUAAGUGUAAGAGUCUUGGAGGUAGAGCACUGAUUGGACUAGGGGUCCUCAUCGGAUUACCGAAUUCAGUCAAACUCCGAAUGCCAAUGACUUAUCCUUAGGAGUCAGACUGCGAGUGAUAAGAUCCGUAGUCAAAAGGGAAACAGCCCAGACCGCCAGCUAAGGUCCCAA
rnacentral:rRNA from 1 species